rnacentral:lncRNA from 1 species
GUUGUCGGGCAAUGUGAUGACUUCCCUUGGCCCUGAAACUCUCCCACCAACUUGAGUGAAAGAGAUAACUUUUGGGAAAUCCUUGGACCCUGGGUCUGUUGCACCCCAGCUGGCUUCCAGAGUCUUGGUUUUCAUACUUCACUGUGGUCUGGGAAAUUCCUCAGAAAAAUUUAUUAAGACAAUGUUUCUGUCAGUGGAUCAUAUCAGAAAGUAGGCAAUUCUCAUUUCAGGGAUGAACAAGACAAAUGGAGCUUUCCUUACCCAGGGCAGGAAUAAAAUAGGCAACUUAUUAUUCAGUAACAAAGCUCAGAUUAGAAAAAUUGGUUAUUAUUUUAUGGCCCUUAAUGAACCAGGUCAAGCAAACUCGAUGCCCCCAAGUAACCCUGAAACCAGGUGGUUCCAGCUCUUUAGGCUCCCUUCCCAAAACUUUGUACAGCAGCUUCCUGGAGCUGGCUGGAAGGAGUUGAGACUGUUGGAAUUUGGCCUGGGUCUGUAAAUCUUUAGCUAACAGGGGCCUAAUUCAAUACUUUUUUAAAAAAUCAAAAGACAAUGAGUGUACUCUUAAAUCACCCUGGGGUUUGCAAUCUUUUUCACGUCUUACUCUCUCUGCAGAAGAAGACCUCCAUUUUUCUCACCAUCUGCGGCACCUCUCUAGUUUGCAGGAUAGAAGAUGAAGUUGAGAAGCUAUGGAGAGGCGAGCAGAGGAAGAGAGGGGAAACAGAAAGAAGGAAGACCUCCUAUAACAUCUGUGAACCUGGCUGGAUGCAGUGGCUCACGCCUGUAAUCCAACACUUUGGGAGGCCAAGGGCAUGGACAAAUGGAUGGUGGCCUGGUGUGGCUUCUCUGCUCUUGGCUGUGUUCCCCCGCACCAAUUAA